UACGAAGGGUGCAAACGUUGCUCGGAAUUAUUGGGCGUAAAGCGCACGUAGGCGGCUUUGUAAGUCGGAUGUGAAAUCCCUCGGCUUAACCAAGGAAGUGCAUUCGAAACUCCCGAGCUUGAGUUCUGGAGAGGAAGGCGGAAUUCUCGGUGUAGAGGUGAAAUUCGUAGAUAUCGAGAGGAACACCGGUGGCGAAGGCGGCUCACUGGCUCGUAUCUGACGCUCAGGCGCGACAGCGUGGGGAUCAAACAGG
rnacentral:rRNA from 1 species